GGGCCGCAAGGGUUUGCAGAGGUUGGUCCGGGAAAAUAAGACGGCUUAACCUAUUGAUCUUGAAUCUUACUCGACCUAACUUUUAAUCUUUUGGUCGAUGGUUCGAAUCCAUCACGGCCCACCA
rnacentral:tRNA from 1 species